rnacentral:lncRNA from 1 species
UCUUAACUCUGCUUGAAAAUUGGGGGCUGUGCGCCCGCCACGCCAAGCGAGCUGUCGUGGAAGCUGCCGACGUGAGGCUGGUGAGGGCCUGAGGCGGGUUUUAAAGGAUUUCCCCCAGGCAUGUGCCAGUGGAAAAUCAUCUGAGAAUUCAAGAAAUCCACCAGAACCUGCAGAGGGCAGAGCUGAGAUUUCUGCAGGAGGAGGAAGAGGCCAGAAUCACCAAAAUAGUGGGGAAAAAAAACACAAUUUUGGUCCAAACAGCCACGAUGCUACACAGAAAACACCAGGAGCUUGAUAUCAGGAUCCUAAAAACACGAGCAAAAGGAGGAUUUUUCCCUCAAAAAGCACUUUCUCUGGGAAAAUGCUUCCUGCUGGCCUGGGUGCAAUUUCCUUUGUUUUUUUUUUUUUUGUUUUUUUUUUUUCCAUUUUCCCCUCUUUCUGGCAAAUAUUAAAUGGUGAAAUGGGAACCCUGGCGCAGCGCUUCCUACGGGGAAGGGCGGAGAUGAGGACACUUCCCCUAUUUUGCUGUUUUUAGGACUUAUUUCAGCAAUUCUGAAACCCGAAGCAAUCGCACUGGGUUUUGGGUCCAUUUCUGUGCAUUUAAGGGGAGUUUGGGGUCUUCCGUUGCAUUUAAGGGGAAUUUUGGGUCCGUCCUGUUGCAUUUAAAGGGAUUUUGGGGUCUUCUGUUGCAUUUAAAGGGAAUUUUGGGUCCGUCCUGUUGUAUUUAAAGGGAAUUUUGGGUCCAUCCUGUUGCAUUUAAGGGGAAUUUUGGGUCCAUCCUGUUGCAUUUAAAGGGAAUUUUGGGUCCGUCCUGUUGCAUUUAAGGGGAAUUUUGGGUCCGUCCUGUUGCAUUUAAGGCGAAUUUUGGGUCCGUCCUAUUGCAUUUAAAGGGAUUUUGGGUCCGUCCUGUUGCAUUUAAGGGGAAUUUUGGGUCAGUCCUGUUGCGUUUAAAGGGAUUUUGGGUCCAUCCUGUUGCAUUUAAAGGGAAUUUGGGUCCGUCCUGUUGCAUUUAAAGGGAUUUUGGGUCCGUCCUGUUGCAUUUAAGGGGAAUUUGGGGUCUUCUGUUGCAUUUUAGGGGAAUUUGGGGUUUGUCCAAGCCUGGCGUGGAGCAAGAGGGUGAAAUUUAAUUUGGGUGAAUCCUUUCUGCCUGGAAAAAAGAGGUGAAAGAAAAACCAAACGGAGCCGGGGCUGGUUUUUAGGUGCUGUUUAUUGAGCGAGUGGCGGGACGCGGCGGCGGGGAGGCGUUUGGGGUGAAACCCGAGGCUUUUGGGGAAUUUUUAGGGGCAGAAAGUGAGCAGGG